UACGGAGGUGGCAAGCGUUGUUCGGAUUGAUUGGGUGUAAAGGGCAUGUAGGCGUCCGGGUAAGUCGAAUGUGAAAUCCCGUAGCUCAACUACGGAACUGCAUUCGAAACUGCAUGGAUUGAGUACGAAAGGGGAGAAUGGAAUUCCCGGUGUAAGGGUGAAAUCUGUAGAUAUCGGGAGGAACACCAGUGGCGAAGGCGAUUCUCUGGUUCGAUACUGACGCUGAAAUGCGAAAGCUAAGGGAGUAAACAGGAUUAGAUACCCCUGUA
rnacentral:rRNA from 1 species